UAUCAGCCCACUGCCUCCAAGUUUCUGUUCUCUUGGCUCAUCUCAUGGGAUGUGAACAUCAUAGAACAUCAUGCUGGCAACAGUUUUAACGUUUAUAGAUAUGCAAUUUCGGUUGCAUCUAUAUAUAAGCCAACAGCUUUAACUGGGUCUCAAUCCAUUUACCAAUGCUAGAAGAAAUCUUGUUUUUGCAUUCAUUGAAGAACCGAUGUCAUUCUCCAGUAUGACAACUGAGUAUUUCAAGUCCCGCUUCUUGAGCUUCUUGGACUCCUUCACCCCUGCGUAAGAUGGGAUUUGAGAUGGAAGACUGGCAUAUGCCAUGUCUUCCUUCUCUCUGCGUGAUACUGAUUUGUAAAUUCACCUGCUUUUAAUCAGUCUGUAAUCUUGGGUGUCAGUGCCUCAGAGCUGCUCCUCCUGCAUGUAUAGACUGCAAAACAGUGGUAGGGAAGGAGCAUUGCCAGGCAAAAGCCUCAGAAAAAAGAAAAUAAAAACUCCA
rnacentral:lncRNA from 1 species